AGCCUGCGGGACCAGUCCCACCAGGGGCACCGGAAACACAGAUGCGGGCAAUUGUAUCCAAUCCGUGGGGAGCUUUCAAAGACCGGGGUCGGUGGCAGCUUGUAGUCCUGGUCAAACACGAUUCCCCGGGGCCUAGCAAGACCAGUGUCCAGCAAGGGGAGGGAGGGGCAGCAUGUGCAGGGUCCUGAGGUCAGAAAGACCCCCCGGGGUGGGGCGGGGCGGGGGAGGAGCCAGAGUCUCAGGCUCAGGCCUGUGCAGGGUUGGACGGCGUGUGGAGCUGAGACGCAGGGAGUGAAGCGCGGGUCCGAGUAGGAGCAGGUAGCCAGUGGUGAGGAGGCCAGCGCUGGCCCUCCGCUGGGAGAUGGCCACGAGCGCCGAGACCAGCGCCAGGACAGGGUCCACGAGCGCAUUUGAGAGUCUGGGGGCUCAGGGGUUCUCUCUCCGCCUCCCAGAGGGGGCUCCGGGCAGACGCGGGCUGCCGAGGCCUGUGCGCCCUCCGCCACCCUGGGCAGGCUGUGUCACCUUGGCCCCGUGUCUGCUACCAGGCUGCUCAGGGAGCUUGUCUGAAGCGAGCGGCUGUGAAGACGCCUGGCCCCCCUUUGCUGUCCUGCACGGCCUGGCCUUCUCGGGGGGCCACGUGGUGUUGGCUCAUCCCCUGCCAGUUGGCUGUCAGGUCGGAGAUGACCACGGGGGCCUAACUCCUGGCGGUGCACACAGGGACAGGACGGCGCAGAGGACGUGGGCACCGAGACUGGGUGGGGCUGAAGCCAGGGGCAGGCGGGACCGGGAAGAGGGGCCUCUCUGCAGAAAAACCCUGGACCGUGAAGGCUGGAGAAAGGAGCGGGAGCCGAGGCCAGGGCCCCAGGCGACACGAGCCUGGGAGCUCAGAGCUGGGGAGGGGACAGCGUCAGACGGAGGCCCGGAUGGAGAGGGGACAGCAUCAGAUGGAGGCCCGGAUGGAGAGGGGACAGCGUCAGAUGGAGGCCUGGCUGGGAGGGGACGGCGUCAGACAGAGGCCUGGCUGGGGAGGGGACAGCGUCAGACAGAGGCCCGGAUGGAGAGGGGACAGCAUGAGACGAAGGCCUGGAUGGACAGAGGGGACAGCGUCAGACGGAGGCCUGGAUGGAGAGGGGACGGCGUCAGACGGAGGCCUGGGUGGAGAGGGGACAGCGUCAGAUGGAGGCCUGGCUGGGGAGGGGACAGCGUCAGACGGAGGCCUGGCUGGGGAGGGGACAGCGUCAGACGGAGGCCUGGAUGGAGAGGGGACAGCGUCAGAUGGAGGCCUGGAUGGAGAGGGGACAGCGUCAGAUGGAGGCCUGGCUNNNNNNNNNNNNNNNNNNN
rnacentral:lncRNA from 1 species